CUGCCAUCCAAGUAAGUUGGGAUUUGCUUUUCCUUACCCUCCUCCAUGAGUGUGAGGCUUCCCCAGCCACGUAGAACUAUCAACCCUGAGGAUUGGGAAGGAACUAUACAUACCAGGAGGCAAGGAGCACUGGGGGCCCUCCUGGAACUGCCUGUCACAGCGUCCUCAAAGGUUUUCACUCUCCUAGGAUGACCCAGGUAUAGAAUCUGCCCCUAUGGUUCGGCUCCACCCUCUCACCUGUCUCUUGAGAGCAUUGUGAAAUUCUGAGACACAGCAAGGACAGAAACAGAGGGCAUGGAAGAUGCUUUCAGCAGUAUGAUGGUACUUCCAGUACCCCAGUGACACCUAGCCUGAGAAAGAAGCAGAGAUAAAGUCUAUAGAGGAAGAGAGCAUCUGAAUGACGUUUGAGUCCCUGGAUCCACUGUGUGAAGCCAGAGCCACUCCUGCAAGUGUUUUGUUUAGGUUUAAAUUUGAUUGAGAUUUUUAUUACUUCAAAGUAAAAAAUUCUUACUAAUGCAAUGCCUUCAGCCUUCCACCUCAAAGUCAC
rnacentral:lncRNA from 1 species